ACGCUCGACACCUACGGAGGCAGCAGUGAGGAAUAUUGGUCAAUGGGCGCUAGCCUGAACCAGCCAAGUAGCGUGAAGGAUGAAGGCUCUAUGGGUCGUAAACUUCUUUUAUAUAAGAAUAAAGUGCAGUAUGUAUACUGUUUUGUAUGUAUUAUAUGAAUAAGGAUCGGCUAACUCUGUGCUAGCAGCCGCGGUAAUCUGAGCGGGCUGGCAAGGC
rnacentral:rRNA from 1 species